AGAGCGAACGCUGGCGGCAGGCCUAACACAUGCAAGUCGAGCGGCCGUAGCAAUACGGCAGCGGCAGACGGGAGAGUAACACGUGGGAACGUGCCCAUCAGUUCGGAACAACCCAGGGAAACUUGGGCUAAUACCGGAUACGCCCUUACGGGGAAAGAUUUAUCGCUGAUGGAGCGGCCCGCGUCUGAUUAGCUAGUUGGUGAGGUAACGGCUCACCAAGGCGACGAUCAGUAGCUGGUCUGAGAGGAUGAUCAGCCUCACUGGGACUGAGACACGGCCCAGACUCCUACGGGAGGCAGCAGUGGGGGAAUAUUGGACAAUGGGCGCAAGCCUGAUCCAGCCAUGCCGCGUGGAUGAUGAAGGCCUUAGGGUGUAAAAUCCUUUCGGCGGGAAGAUAAUGACGGUACCCGCAGAAGAAGCCCCGGCUAACUCGUGCCAGCAGCCGC
rnacentral:rRNA from 1 species